rnacentral:rRNA from 1 species
CAACAGCUAGAGUUUGAUCCUGGCUCAGGAUUAACGCUGGCGGCGUGCUUAACACAUGCAAGUCGAACGGGGUAAGGAACUUCGGUUUUUUACUUAGUUGGCGGACGGGUGAGUAACGCGUGGGUAACCUGCCCUGUACCGGGGGACAACAGCUGGAAACGGCUGCUAAUACCGCAUAAGCGCACGAGGCCGCAUGGCCAUGUGUGAAAAGAUUUAUCAGUACAGGAUGGGCCCGCGUCUGAUUAGCCAGUUGGCAGGGUAACGGCCUACCAAAGCGACGAUCAGUAGCCGAUCUGAGAGGAUGAACGGCCACAUUGGGACUGAGACACGGCCCAAACUCCUACGGGAGGCAGCAGUGGGGAAUAUUGCACAAUGGGGGGAACCCUGAUGCAGCGACACCGCGUGGGUGAGGAAGUAUUUCGGUAUGUAAAGCCCUAUCAGCAGGGAAGAAAAAAGACGGUACCUGACUAAGAAGCACCGGCUAAAUACGUGCC